ensembl:misc_RNA 7SK 7SK RNA
UGAUGUGAGGGCCAUCUGCCUGUGACACCCGUCACCACUCUGAGCUCCAGGCUUGAGUCAGCCCAUAUGGCUGCCCAAGCCCAGGUCCCCUUUCUCUCCCAGUGCUCCAUAUGCAUCCCUCCCAAAGGUGCUGGGGCACAGAGGACGACCUCCCCGAUACAGACAGUACAUUUUAUCACACAAGGCUAUUUGGUAGCUGCGCUCCCUGCCAGAACCUUCAAACCUAACCAAGUUCCAUUCCUCCAUAGGAGGGCUAUCCCGGUAGUCAGACAUAAAAUUUUACGAAAAACAGGAUAUUACGCAUCCCAUAAAAUGGGAGGCAUUCAUG